rnacentral:rRNA from 1 species
UACGUAGGGGGGCAAGCGUUGUCCGGAAUCAUUGGGCGUAAAGAGCGUGUAGGCGGCCAGAAAAGUCCGCUGUGAAAACCCGAGGCUCAACCUCGGGCCUGCAGUGGGUACGGGCAGACUAGAGUGCGGUAGGGGAGAUUGGAAUUCCUGGUGUAGCGGUGGAAUGCGCAGAUAUCAGGAGGAACACCAAUGGCGAAGGCAGAUCUCUGGGCCGUAACUGACGCUGAGGAGCGAAAGCAUGGGGAGCGAACAGGA